rnacentral:sRNA from 1 species
UUUUUUCUUCUUCUUU